GUUGUAUGGUUAAGUGACUAAGCGUACACGGUGGAUGCCUAGGCAAUCAGAGGCGAAGAAGGACGUGCUAAUCUGCGAAAAGCUUGGAUGAGUCGAUAAGAGGCGUUUAAUCCAAGAUAUCCGAAUGGGGAAACCCAGUAGAUGAAGAAUCUACUAUCGUUAUUUGAAUACAUAGAAUAACGAAGCAAACCGGGAGAACUGAAACAUCUAAGUACCCCGAGGAAAAGAAAUCAACCGAGAUUCCGUGAGUAGCGGCGAGCGAAAGUGGAAGAGCCAGUGAGUGAUAGCAGUAAAAUUAAGAGAAUGAGCUGGGAAGCUCAACCGUAGGGGGUGAUAGUCCCGUAUCUGAAAAUUUUAUUGUGGUACUAAGCUAACGAGAAGUAGGGCGGGACACGUGAUAUCCUGUUUGAAGAUGGGGGGACCAUCCUCCAAGGCUAAAUACUCCUGAUUGACCGAUAGUGAACCAGUACUGUGAAGGAAAGGCGAAAAGAACCCCAGUGAGGGGAGUGAAAUAGAACCUGAAACCGUGUACGUACAAGCAGUGGGAGCUCCGUCACUUAAUGAUUUUUAAUCAUUAAGUGACUUCGCAGGAGUCAGAUGACAGUGGUCAGAUAGCAGUGGAUAAUAAAACUGCCAUCUGAAACCUGUCAUCUGACACCUGAAACGGAGUCAGUUAAUGGCGAAAGCCAUUAAGUGACGGAGUGACUGCGUACCUUUUGUAUAAUGGGUCAGCGACUUAUAUUUUGUAGCGAGGUUAACUUAAAUCAGGUAGCCGAAGGGAAACCGAGUCUUAACUGGGCGGCUAGUUGCAAGGUAUAGACCCGAAACCCGGUGAUCUAGCCAUGGGCAGGUUGAAGGUUGGGUAACACUAACUGGAGGACCGAACCGACUAAUGUUGAAAAAUUAGCGGAUGACUUGUGGCUGGGGGUGAAAGGCCAAUCAAACCGGGAGAUAGCUGGUUCUCCCCGAAAUCUAUUUAGGUAGAGCCUUAUGUGAAUACCUUGGGGGGUAGAGCACUGUUUCGGCUAGGGGUCCAUCCCGGAUUACCAACCCGAUGCAAACUGCGAAUACCGAAGAGUAAUGCAUAGGAGACACACGGUGGGUGCUAACGUCCAUCGUGAAGAGGGAAACAACCCAGACCGCCAGCUAAGGUCCCAAAGUCUAUAUUAAGUGGGAAACGAAGUGGGAAGGCUUAGACAGCUAGGAUGUUGGCUUAGAAGCAGCCAUCAUUUAAAGAAAGCGUAAUAGCUCACUAGUCGAGUCGGCCUGCGCGGAAGAUGUAACGGGGCUAAAAUAUAGCACCGAAGCUGCGGCUUUCAGGGGUCAGAUUACAGGAGUUAGAUAACAGUAGAAAUACUGCUGUGUUAGAAACUCAAAAUAUUAUUAGGUUUAGGUAAGUUGGUAGGCAAAACUGCCGUCUGAAACCUGUAAUCUGACCCCUGACAGGGUAGGGGAGCGUUGUGUAAGCGGAUGAAGGUGAAUCGAGAGGUUUGCUGGACGUAUCACAAGUGCGAAUGCUGACAUAAGUAACGAUAAAACGAGUGAAAAACUCGUUCGCCGGAAGACCAAGGGUUCCUGUCCAACGUUAAUCGGGGCAGGGUGAGUCGGCCCCUAAGGCGAGGCUGAAAAGCGUAGUCGAUGGGAAACGGGUUAAUAUUCCCGUACUUGGUAAAGUUGCGAUGUGGGGACGGAGUAGGUUAGGUUAGCGUACUGUUGGAUAUGUACGUUUAAGCGUGUAGGUGGGAAGUUUAGGCAAAUCCGAACUUCCAUUCAACACUAAGGCGUGAUGACGAUUUCCCAAGGGAAAGAAGUAAUCGAUACCACACUUCCAGGAAAAGCCACUAAGCGAAAGACUUUACUAAACCGUACUGAAAACCGACACAGGUGGUCAGGUAGAGAAUACUCAGGCGCUUGAGAGAACUCGGGUGAAGGAACUAGGCAAAAUAGCACCGUAACUUCGGGAGAAGGUGCGCUUACCGUAAUUGUAGUGCUUUACGCACGAAGGUGAAGUAAGUCGAAGAUACCAGCUGGCUGCAACUGUUUAUUAAAAACACAGCACUCUGCAAACACGAAAGUGGACGUAUAGGGUGUGAUGCCUGCCCGGUGCUGGAAGGUUAAUUGAUGGUGUUAUCGCAAGAGAAGCUCCUGAUCGAAGCCCCAGUAAACGGCGGCCGUAACUAUAACGGUCCUAAGGUAGCGAAAUUCCUUGUCGGGUAAGUUCCGACCUGCACGAAUGGCAUAAUGAUGGCCAGGCUGUCUCCACCCGAGACUCAGUGAAAUUGAAAUCGCCGUGAAGAUGCGGUGUACCCGCGGCUAGACGGAAAGACCCCGUGAACCUUUACUAUAGCUUGACACUGAACCUUGAAUUUUGAUGUGUAGGAUAGGUGGGAGACUAAGAAGCAGGAACGCCAGUUCUUGUGGAGUCGUCCUUGAAAUACCACCCUUUAACGUUUGAUGUUCUAACGAAGUAUGUGAAACGCGUACUCGGACAGUGUCUGGUGGGUAGUUUGACUGGGGCGGUCUCCUCCCAAAGAGUAACGGAGGAGCACGAAGGUUUGCUAAUGACGGUCGGACAUCGUCAGGUUAGUGCAAUGGUAAAAGCAAGCUUAACUGCGAGACAGACAAGUCGAGCAGGUACGAAAGUAGGUCAUAGUGAUCCGGUGGUUCUGAAUGGAAGGGCCAUCGCUCAACGGAUAAAAGGUACUCCGGGGAUAACAGGCUGAUACCGCCCAAGAGUUCAUAUCGACGGCGGUGUUUGGCACCUCGAUGUCGGCUCAUCACAUCCUGGGGCUGAAGUAGGUCCCAAGGGUAUGGCUGUUCGCCAUUUAAAGUGGUACGCGAGCUGGGUUUAGAACGUCGUGAGACAGUUCGGUCCCUAUCUGCCGUGGGCGUAGGAUGAUUGAGUGGGGCUGCUCCUAGUACGAGAGGACCGGAGUGGACGCAUCACUGGUGUACCAGUUGUUUCGCCAGAAGCAUUGCUGGGUAGCUAAAUGCGGAAGAGAUAAGUGCUGAAAGCAUCUAAGCACGAAACUUGCCAUAAGAUGAGUCAUCCCACACUUAAAGUGUGUAAGGGUUGUUUAAGACGAAGACGUAGAUAGGCUGGGUGUGUAAGCGGUGCGAGCCGUUGAGCUAACCAGUACUAAUUGCCCGAGCGGCUUAACCAUACAACCUCA
rnacentral:rRNA from 1 species